rnacentral:rRNA from 1 species
GCGGACCCCAGGGAUGGGCGGAGGCCACCCGCUGGAGC